UAAAGCCCGCUUAGUUAAUUUGGAAAUUAGCAGUUAUUUAUGUUAAUCAGGAAAUUAUUUAUAGCUAUUUAAAUAAUUUAUCAUUGUUAUUAUGGAAUUCAGAUAUGCAUAAUUAUGUUAUCAGCAGUUUUUAUAUUUCGCAUUUCCGGUGUCCGGUAUUUUGGAACGCGGCGUUUGGCUCAGUAGAAAUCACAACUUAGUAUGUUAGUAUUUUGGGGACGGGUUUUAGACAUUGGGAAUGUCGGGAAUGGCCGGGAAUUUAGAAUGUCCCAAAAAUACCCCUUUAGUGUUUUGUAUGUGGUUUUAGUAUGGAGGGGCAAAAUGGUCUUUUUGCCCCAAUGAUAUUUUGUUUUAUAUGAUUUAAUAAAUGAAAUAAAUGUUUAAAUUAUGCAUGUUAUUUGGCUGAAUGAUUUAGUGUGUAAAGGCUCUUUUUACUCAUUUCUCAUUUAACUUAGAAAAAAAAAAAAAUAGAAAAUUCAAGCAAAAAAAAACUCUCUCUCUUUUUCUCUCUUUUCGGCUGGGAAUUUGGGGUGCUAAAGCUGGGUUUUUCCUUCAAUUCUCAAAGCUAAUUCAUCCUAAUUGUGAUCCCUUGUUGUGGAGCCAGUAAUCCGCCGUUCAGCUUCAGUUCCAGUCAGGUUGACCGGCACACCUGAAAUCGGAAUCCAGGUAAAGGCAAGGCAGUUGCUGAUGGACCGUGAGCGAGCUUAUGGGAUUGUACAUGUCGGGGCGGUUAGGCCUGGAGCGUACGAUCCUCGGGACAGCAGGGCUGAGAUUUUUGUAACGGUCGUUAGAUGACCUCAUUUUGAUGUAAAAGUUGAAUAGUGAAAACGUUUGUAAAUAUUUUUAUAAAUCGGGAUCCCGAGACUUUUUGGUAAAAUGGUUUAUAAGUUUAAUGAAAAAGCAAAAUUUUAAUUAAUCACGUUUUUCCAUAAACCUCGUUGAUUAGCAACGAGCUGCACAGUACGUU